rnacentral:rRNA from 1 species
CGAGGACGAACGCUGGCGGCGUGCUUAACACAUGCAAGUCGAACGGUAAGGCCCUUCGGGGUACACGAGUGGCGAACGGGUGAGUAACACGUGGGUGAUCUGCCCUGCACUUCGGGAUAAGCCUGGGAAACUGGGUCUAAUACCGGAUAGGACUCCUGGCUUCAUGGUUGGGGGUGUAAAGCUUUUGCGGUGUGGGAUGGGCCCGCGGCCUAUCAGCUUGUUGGUGGGGUAAUGGCCUACCAAGGCGACGACGGGUAGCCGGCCUGAGAGGGUGACCGGCCACACUGGGACUGAGAUACGGCCCAGACUCCUACGGGAGGCAGCAGUGGGGAAUAUUGCACAAUGGGCGCAAGCCUGAUGCAGCGACGCCGCGUGAGGGAUGACGGCCUUCGGGUUGUAAACCUCUUUCAAUAGGGACGAAGCGCAAGUGACGGUACCUAUAGAAGAAGGACCGGCCAACUACGUG